rnacentral:rRNA from 1 species
CCUACGGGAGGCAGCAGUGGGGAAUAUUGGUCAAUGGACGCAAGUCUGACCCAGCAACGCCGCGUGAAGGAAGAAGGCUCUCGGGUUGUAAAAUUCUUUUUAUGUGGGAGUACAGAAGACUGUACCUCUUGAAUAAGCUAUGGCUAACUACGUGCCAGCAGCCGCGGCAAUACGUAGGUGGCAAGCGUUGUCCGGAUUUACUGGGUGUAACGGGUGUGCAGGCGGAGAGACAAGUCAGAUGUGAAAUUCACGGGCUCAACCCGUGAACUGCAGUUGAUACUGUUUGCCUUGAGUGUAGGAGAGGUAGUCGGAAUUCGUUGUGUAGCGGUGAAAUGCGUAGAUAUAAGGAAGAACACCGGUGGCGAAGGCAGAUUACUGGACGGUAACUGACGGUGAGGCGCGAAAGCGUGGGGAGCAAACAGGAUUAGAUACCCGAGUAGUC